GGCGGCGCAGCUAGGGUGCGGCACUAGAAACCCUAGGGUUUCUAGCUUUCUAAACACUUAGUUUUAAGUUGUGGGCCUGUCGGGCCUUGGGCUAUUGGGUUUGUAAUUUAGAUUUUAAAUUUGGGCUGGUAUUGUAAUUGGACUUUGGACUUAUUUUUUAUUUUCAUUUUUUGUUUGUUUUUUUGGUUAGGCUUGGGAAAAAUUGGGCAUCUACAGCUGCCCCUCUUUGCUCGUUGUCAUGUAAUGAGAAUGGAGCAAAGACUUUAAGAAGGACCAAUUUUGUCCGGUCCUGUCGAAUCUCGACUUCUUUGGUGCUUCUCUUUUUG
rnacentral:lncRNA from 1 species